AUUUUCAAAGGCCAUCAGCUACGUUUUCUUGUUGCUAUUAGUGAAGUGUAAGGUAGGUUAUACUUCUGUUCAAAAAACAGGUAGGUUAUACUAGCAAGGCCUAUUCCUAUGUUUUGCAUCAUAGGUUAUCAAUUUCAAGAUUACAGUUGUUCGUAGAUGGAUAUAUUUAAGCUCCUCUUUGCGGCAUAUCUUAAACAAAUGAAGAAUUACAUCUAUAUGCUUGUAUCAUAGCUCAGAGAUUUCCCCAGGUUAGGGCCUGCUUGGAAGUCCGGUUUUUGGCCUAAUGCCCAUACGACUGGAAAAUGGAUGACCUUGGAAGGCCACACUAUUUUUCACACAUUUUUUCUGAGAAAUCUCAGGCUUGCCUUGAGCUCGAGCUUGCUCCACCCUCCUCGCCUCAGUGCCUCAUUGCCACUGCCACUUCUACAGUAACCACCAACAUCCUCCUGGCUUGAAUGAGCGACGCGGGCCUCCUCCAGCUUGAAUCCAUGCCACUGCCCCCCUCAUAUUGGUGAUCCAAGUUGUCAUGUCGUCUGUUCUCGAUACAGCCCUCCUGGAGAUAGGCAGCAAACCCAUUAGCAGGUGCAGCAGCGGUCACUCUGUUAGUUACUCUAGAGAACAUGGGCAUCAACAACAGAUGGCGAUGCCAGUGACCUCUGCCAGUGCUGAGUGGAUUUCCUCUGCCUUUGAUAGCAUAGCACACGCCUCAUCCUCAUCACCCCUGUCCCUGAAUGUGCAUAGCUUUUUCAAUGAUUCGGUCUGAACUUUAUACCAGUGAGUAUAAAUUAUGUUGUGUUGUUGCAUGUAUAGAUUCAGAAUUUGCUUUCCUUGAUUCUAAAACAUUUGUUGUGUACUCGCUUCUAAAGCAUGCUAUUGGGCAAUACACAGUCAAAUUUGCUCA